AGUUUGAUCCUGGCUCAGAUUGAACGCUGGCGGCAUGCCUUACACAUGCAAGUCGAACGGCAGCACGGGAGCUUGCUCCUGGUGGCGAGUGGCGAACGGGUGAGUAAUGCAUCGGAACGUAUCCUGGAGUGGGGGAUAACGUAGCGAAAGUUACGCUAAUACCGCAUAUUCUGUGAGCAGGAAAGCGGGGGACCUUCGGGCCUCGCGCUCUUGGAGCGGCCGAUGUCGGAUUAGCUAGUUGGUGAGGUAAAGGCGUCACCAAGGCGACGAUCCGUAGCAGGUCUGAGAGGAUGAUCUGCCACACUGGAACUGAGACACGGUCCAGACUCCUACGGGAGGCAGCAGUGGGGAAUUUUGGACAAUGGGGGCAACCCGUGAUCCAGCCAUGCCGCGUGAGUGAAGAAGGCC
rnacentral:rRNA from 1 species